ensembl:lincRNA Gm13652 predicted gene 13652
GACCGUCCCCCCAAAGUAAGGCCGAAGAUGACACGAGGCCGAUGUCCAGCUCGUCUUAGGCCUCCGAGGCGCUCCAAAGGCUGACGGGGGUCAAGUCCGUUCCCGCUGGGGACAAGUGCAUCAGCUCCAGAACGACCUCUCCCUUGCUUAGCCCUGCCCCGGGAGAUCAGAGUGACCCAACGCCCUGGGGUACCGGCUCCCGCCUCCCUGUCGUCGUCUUGUUGGGCCAAUCGUCUGGCUCUGGGUCGCUGCCCGGGCGCACGGGCUCAGGAAGGCAGCAGCUGCACGGGGUUCCCAUUCCACCCGGGACAGUACUGCAGUUUGUCACCUGCUUGGCUGGCCCCCUUAACAGUUGAAGCUCUGUUCCUCCUAUGAAAGACUCAGCUACUCUAUCUCCUGGCUGAAGCCUCCAAGCUCCCCGAACACUGUGGUCCCUGAGGCUGUGAGACUCUCUCUUGCAAGUCAGCACCUGAGGAUCCCUGGUCCAAGCUUCAUUCCUCUGGGUCCAAGAACCUAGAAGAAAAGCCUGGAGCCACACACUCACCUGGGUGAAGCCAUAAGGAGGUCUUUUCAAGGCCUGACUAAACACCUAAGAGAAGCAACUUAAGGAAGAAAGGACUUAGUUGGAUAACGGCUCAGAGGGUCCACCACAUCAGGGAAGCUUGGUAGCUGGAGUGAGUCAGACCACUGUGGCUGAAGCUUCCCACAUGAUGUGGACCACAAGCAAACAAACAAGAACAAGGAAAUCUGGCCUGUCACUCUCAAUGACUAUCACCAGUGACCCUCCGGUGCUAGCCAUGCUUCCUACUACAAAGGCUCCACAACCUCCCAAAACAGGGGACCAAGGGUUCACACACAUGUGCCUAUAGAGGACACAUCACAGUAAACAUAAGAGUGGAACUGAGACACAGAGUGGAAGCCAGAGGGAAGAACACUGAUCCUACAUCUUAAUAAAUGGCCAUAGAGGGACUGCCACUUGCUAUUAAGUAGCAUGUAAACCUCAGAGACUGUCUGUCAUCUUAUGCUUUAAAGGCUACUUUAAGUGACAAUGUUAAUGAUGUAUCUAGUGAUGACAGUUCAACGAGAAACAAAGCCCAGCCAUCAGAAGCUUAUUGAAUAUAAGUGUCUAGCACACCGCGAGCCACCCAGCAAUCUAAUGCGGAAAUGCAGAUGUGCCACUAAAGACACAGACAGUUCAUGACCUCACAUGGUGUCUCUGCAGGACACUCACCUGUGUGGAUAUGACAGAGCAUGGGUCAUUUGGACUGCCGAAGGGUGUUGUUUUCCUGGGGAGAUGGCUCAACCAGGAAAAUGCUGGCAGCCUAAGCCUGAGGACCUGAAUUAAGACCCCAGAGCCCAUGUUACAGGGAGUCUGGAGUGACAGUGCAUACUUGGCGUGCUGGUCCUGAGGAGUUGGAGACAAAGGCAUGCCCAGGGCUCCAGAGCCAGUCAGUUCUGUGAGCUCAAGCUCAAGGAGAGACCUUGUCAUAGAAAACAAGAUGGCGGCUGCUUAGGAAGGACGUUUGAGCUGAUCUCUGUACUCCACUCACACAUGCACACACACACAGGUACACAUUUUAUUUUAGAACCCAUGUUCAUAAAGGAGAGUAGAGGUGGGUAAGUAUGAAGACAGCACAGAAAAUAGUUGAAGCUUUGAUGCAAUUAUUCAGCAGCUCCGACCUUUGACGGUUACACCUAGACUCGUGAUUUGACUUAAGUGGUUUUCUCUUUUAUGGAGAAAAGAGUUUUUGACUUUCUAUACAGUACCAGGUAAAUUAUGCCUUAGGUAAAAUAAUCUGUGUAUGGGAUGGUUGUAACUAACUAUAGAUCACUGUAAAUCCACCAAGCACAUCUGAGGUAGGGCAGGCUAAGCGGUGGUAUUCGGAAGGUUGGACAGGUUAUUAGUCUUUGGUUGGUCUAUUGGUGUGGAAUCCUAUCACUAGUUAAAGUUUCUUUAAGAGUAUAGCUAGCAACUAGAGUAACUCUUACACUCUGCACUGAGUAGUACAGAAAGGGGUCCACGUACCAAAAAAAUGUCCUUUAUUUUCUUCUUUUUGUAUUUAUUAUUAUUAUUAUCAUUAUUAUUUACUUUUUCACUUUACAUCCACUCACUGUCCCCUCCUGGUCACCUCCUCCCACAACCCUUCCCCUUAACCUUCCCUCUUUUCCUCUGGGGGGACCCCUCUGGGUAUCCCCCCACUCUGGCACAUCAAGUCUCUAUGAGGCUAGGUACAUCCUCUCCCACUGAAGCCUGACAAGGCAGCCCAGCUAGAGGAACAUAACCCACAUACAGGCAACAACUCCCUGCUCCAGAUGUUCAGGACCCACAUGGAGACUAAGCUGCACAUUUGCUACAUAUGUGAGGGGGGGGUGUAGGUCCAGCCAGUGUAUGCUCUUUGGUUUGUGGUUCAGUCUCAGAGAGUCCCAAGGGUCCAGGUUAGUUGACUCUAUUGGUCUUCCUAUAAUGGUGGCAUUCCUAUUCUCUUAGAGGCUGUAAUACUCUGUUUUUUUUUCUCCCAGAAGAGUCCCCAAGCUCCAUCCACUGUUUGGCUGUGAGUGUCUGCAUCUGCCUGAGUCAGCUGCUGGGUGGAGUCUCUCAGAGGACAAACCAUGUUAUAAUCUUAUCUGCAAGCAUAACAGAUAUUAACAGUGUCAGGGAUUGGUGCUUGCUCAUGGGAUGGAUCUCAAGUUGGGCCCAUUAUUGGUUGGCCAUUCCCUUAGUCUGCUCCAUCCUCCCAACCUCCCAACCCUUGUAGACAGGAUGAAUUUUGGGUUGAACGUUUUGUGGGUAAAAUGGUGUCUCUAUCGCUCUAUAGGGGGCCCUGCCAGGCUAUAAGAGGCGGCCUCUUCAGGUCCCAUAUCCCCAAUGCUGUCAGUCACAGCUAAGGACAUCCCCACUGAUUCUUGGGCACCUCUGUUAUCCCAGGUCUCUGUCUCUUCCUGGAGAUGCCCCUUAUAUCUCCACUGCUGUCAGUUGCAGGUUUCCAUUCAUUCUCGUGGCCAUCUGGCCAUCCCUCGUUUCCAUCCCCACACCUGAUCCUGAACUUCCAUUCCCCUCCCCACUCCCUCUCCCUCCCAGUUCCCUCUCUUCAUUUGCCCUUAUGACCAUUUUAUUUCCUCUUCUAAGUAAGAUUCAAGCAUUCUUGCUUAUGCCUUCCUUCUUGUUUAGCUUCUUUGGGUCUGCAGAGUGUAGCGUAGAAACACCGUAUUUUAUGGCUAAUAUCCACUUAUAAGUAAGUAUAUACCAUGGAUGUCAUUUUGGAACUGGGUUACCUCACCCAGGAUCACAUUUUCAAGAUCUAUCCAUUUGCCUGCAAAAUUCAUGAUGUCUUUGUUUUUCCUAACUGAAAAAUAUUCCACAUUUCUGUAUCCAUUCUUUGGUUGAGGGACAUCUAAUUGUUUCCAGUUUCUGGCUAUUACAAAUAAAGCCGGUAUGAAC